UCUAGUGAUAGUGUUGAACUUCCUCUAUGGACUACUCCUCUCGAUUCUCGAUCAAUCACUCAAAAUGACUAAACGAAAUCGUCUUAUUUCAUAUUCAAUUCAACAUUUUAGGUUAGGUACUAAACUAUGAAACAAUAAAUAUGACGUAAAACUGAAUUGAAAAUUAUAAAGAAAUUAUAAUCUAAGUAUACAUUCAGUUUAUUCGAGUUACACUGACUAGGUACACGAGUUAAAUCAUUCGGAAAGUUAUAUUUUAUAAAUAUUAUGGAAUCUAUACUUUGGUCGUUCCUUUGGUUUCUCAUACUGAUAUUAAUUGGGUUUUGGAUUGGGAUUGUUGCUGCUAUCGUUUAUGUGGUACUGUUACCUUAUACAGCUUUUAUACCAUCCUUAUCGCCUGUCGUGUUUGUCUUGUUUAAGGGUGUCCAGUUUCCACUACAUUGUACUAAUAUGAUGAUAGCUGGUAAACAGAGUUAAUGGGAAUGUGUACGUAGGGAAACCCUGAAAAUCCAAAGUGCUAUUGAAAAUCAAAUUAAGUAACUUUUUCCCUAAAUCAUUUAAAUUCCUAGUACCUACUUGUCGAAAAUCUUCCCAAUAAAAUGCAAAACUUGAAAA